CCCAGACUCCUACGGGAGGCAGCAGUGGGGAAUAUUGCACAAUGGGGGAAACCCUGAUGCAGCGACGCCGCGUGAGUGAAGAAGUAUUUCGGUAUGUAAAGCUCUAUCAGCAGGGAAGAUAAUGACGGUACCUGAGUAAGAAGCCCCGGCUAACUACGUGCCAGCAGCCGCGGUAAUACGUAGGGGGCAAGCGUUAUCCGGAUUUACUGGGUGUAAAGGGAGCGUAGACGGCAUGGCAAGUCUGAAGUGAAAGCCCGGGGCUCAACCGCGGGACUGCUUUGGAAACUGUUAAGCUGGAGUGCAGGAGAGGUAAGUGGAAUUCCUAGUGUAGCGGUGAAAUGCGUAGAUAUUAGGAGGAACACCAGUGGCGAAGGCGGCUUACUGGACUGUAACUGACGUUGAGGCUCGAAAGCGUGGGGAGCAAACAGGAUUAGAUACCCGAGUAUU
rnacentral:rRNA from 1 species